CGAGUUUGUCGGAUCGAUCUAUUUUAACUCGGGUAAGCUAGAUUUCAUUCGUUUUGUUUCACCAAUCACAAGUUAUCGUUUAUGCUCCAUAGCUUCAUCUCUGACCCAAGAUCUUGUUUAUGCAUAAUUUUUUAUUUUACAACAAAAUCAUGAGUCAAGGAUUAAGCUAUGAAGCUUAAACAUAACUUGUAUUUGUUCUACAUAAUUUGCGUUUGAUUUGGAUCUAGAGGCCUUUUAAUCAAUAUCUUGUCUUUACAUAUUUCG
rnacentral:pre_miRNA from 1 species